GACGAACGCUGGCGGCGUGCCUAAUACAUGCAAGUCGAGCGAAGUUUUUCUGGUGCUUGCCCUAGAAAAACUUAGCGGCGAACGGGUGAGUAACACGUAAAAAACCUGCCUCAUAGACUGGGACAACUAUUGGAAACGGUAGCUAAUACCAGAUAACAGUAUUUCUCGCAAGUGAGAUAUUUAAAAGUUUGUUGUGCUAACACUAUGAGAUGGCUUUGCGGUGCAUUAGCUAGUUGGUGGGGUAAAGGCACACCAAGGCCACGAUGCAUAGCCGACCUGAGAGGGUGAUCGGCCACACUGGGACUGAGACACGGCCCAGACUCCUACGGGAGGCAGCAGUAGGGAAUCUUCCGCAAUGGGCGAAAGCCUGACGGAGCAACGCCGCGUGAGUGAAGAAGGAUUUCGGUUCGUAAAGCUCUGUUGUUAGGGAAGAAUGGAUAUGUAGUAACUAUACAUGUAAGAGACGGUACCUAAUCAGAAAGCCACGGCUAACUACGUG
rnacentral:rRNA from 1 species